CAGCAGCCGCGGUAAUACGAGGGGGGCAAGCGUUGUUCGGAAUUACUGGGCGUAAAGCGUGCGCAGGCGGUUUUGUAAGACAGGCGUGAAAUCCCCGGGCUCAACCUGGGAAUGGCGCUUGUGACUGCAAAGCUAGAGUGCGGCAGAGGGGGAUGGAACUCCGCGUGUAGCAGUGAAAUGCGUAGAUAUGCGGAGGAACACCGAUGGCGAAGGCAAUCCCCUGGGCCUGCACUGACGCUCAUGCACGAAAGCGUGGGGAGCAAACAGGAUUAGAUACCCGUGUAGUCCCUGUCUCUUAUAC
rnacentral:rRNA from 1 species